GACGAACGCUGGCGGCGUGCUUAACACAUGCAAGUCGAACGGAAAGGCCCUGCUUUUGUGGGGUGCUCGAGUGGCGAACGGGUGAGUAACACGUGAGUAACCUGCCCUUGACUUUGGGAUAACUUCAGGAAACUGGGGCUAAUACCGGAUAGGGGCUCCUGCUGCAUGGUGGGGGUUGGAAAGUUUCGGCGGUUGGGGAUGGACUCGCGGCUUAUCAGCUUGUUGGUGGGGUAGUGGCUUACCAAGGCUUUGACGGGUAGCCGGCCUGAGAGGGUGACCGGCCACAUUGGGACUGAGAUACGGCCCAGACUCCUACGGGAGGCAGCAGUGGGGAAUAUUGCACAAUGGGCGGAAGCCUGAUGCAGCAACGCCGCGUGCGGGGUGACGGCCUUCGGGUUGUAAACCGCUUUCGCCUGUGACGAAGCGUGAGUGACGGUAAUGGGUAAAGAAGCACCGGCUAACUACGUG
rnacentral:rRNA from 1 species